AUGAUGAUCACCACUCAUCUCCUGGGAUUGCUGUUACUCUGGCUUACAGGUGCCAGAUGUGACAUCCAGAUGACCCAGUCUCCAGCAAUCCUGUCUGUAUCUCUGGGAGACAGUGUCACCAUCACAUGUCAGGCUAGUCAAAACAUUUACAAUGGUUUGGCGUGGCAUCAGCAGAAACCAGGGAAAUCUCCCAAGCUCCUGAUUUAUACUGCAAGCGACUUGGCAAAUGGAGUCUCAUCAAGGUUCAGUGGCAGUAGAUCUGGCACACAGUAUUCUCUCAAGAUCAAUGGUCUGCUGACUGAAGAUGUUGCAACUUAUUUUUGUCAACAAUAUUACACAUAUAGUUAUCUUCUUGGCUAUGGGAAGUAG